CUUCCUCAGCAAAAAGAGGAGGAUUGGUGGCAGAUGUUAGCUCAGGGCUAAUCUUCCUCAAGAGAAAAAAAAAGCACCUUAGAAAUUGACCUCACAGAGUAGUAAUACGGUCCACACAGAAAGCAUGAGAGCAAGCAGGUAAUCCCAGUAGCACCAGGAACACACUUACGCCUCCUGUACUCAGACACUUCCUCGGGAGGCCCCGUGAGAGGGGAGAAACCGCACUGAUAACGCGUGAACUCGGAAUCUGCUGGAUCUGUAGCCAAAAGAGAUACUUAAAACCAGAAGUAAUGAGCCGUAUUUUAUUAGCAAGCUCCAGCAUUAUUUUCUGCCAUUCACAGAAAUCAUAUCUGCAGAACAAAAUGAAGUCAGUUACCGAAAGUAAAGCUACAACCUGUCUACUUUUUUCUAUUAAAUUUUAAUUUUAUAUUAAUAGUAUAAAUAGCUCAUUAACUUCCAAUAACUAGGUAUAACAGAGAUGUGGUGUUCAUUUUAGUUGAGCAAUAAAGUUAUCUUUAUUGUUAAUAAAGAUAAAGAAGGAAUAUCCGAUAAGAUAGUAUGUAAGUGCUACCCAAGUGAGGGUACCUACAACAACAUCUUAUAUUUGUAUAAAGAGAAUGGGGCCUCUUACACUUUGAAUACCAUGUCAGUCAAGAUUGGCUGGCCAGGGGCUGGCCCUGUGGCCGAGUGAUUAAGUUUGUGUGCUCUGCUUCAGUGGCCCAGGGUUUCACUGGUUCAGAUCCUGGGCACGGACCUAGCACCACUCAUCAAGCCACGCUGAGGUGGCUUAAAACUACACAGUUACUCGGUUGCAGUUCUGAAGGUCAAAAGUCCAAAAGGAGCCCUACAGGACUAGACUCAAGGUAUCGGCAGGGCUGGUUCUUUUCAGAGGCUCCAAGGGAGGUUCUGUUCCUUGCUUCUCCCCACUCCUGGAGGCUGCCGGAGUUCCUGGCUUGUGGCCCCAUCACUGCAAUCUCUGCUUCGGUUGCACAUCUCCUACUUCUAUAGUCAAACCUCCCUCUGCCUCACACUUGUGAUUACAUUUAGGGUCCACUUUGACAAUCCGGAUCACCUUCCUCAACCUUCUUGAGCAUCUCGAGAUCCUCAACCACAUCUGCAAAGUCCAUUUUGCCAUCUAAGAUUGGUCCUGAGCAAACACCUGUGCAAAUCUUCCUCUAUUUUGUAUGUGGGAUGCUGACACAGCAUGUCUUGAUGAGCAGUGGGAUCGAAACCUGCAAACCCCUGGCCACCGAAGCAGAGUGCACAAACUUAACCACUAUGCCACCGGGCCAGCCCCUAAAUAAAUCUUCUAUACCAAUCCUCUCCCAGUCUGCAUCAACCGAACUCUUGUAUGCCCUAGUGGGAGAGACGUCUGAGAGUCAAGUGACCUGUUUCCGGAUGACUCCUCAACACCUGCUGCAGAUGGUCGUGUUCCUUUCCUGGUUUGCUGCACCUGCUGUAUCUUGGAACCUCGGCAGGAACUGCAGUUUUAACUCUGCCACGAUGGCCUGAGACCCGUCGUGAUUCUCUUUCUGGGGCUGGGCCCACCUUCCCUAAUUUCAAGGCCUACUAUCUGAACAAAAGAGGAUUCUAGAGGCAAGAAAGAAAAAGAAACAGCUCCUCUGUGCUGGGGUAACCAGCUUCGAGGAUGGCUCUCCACGAUCCUUGCCUCGUGGUAGCCACGCUCUUAUGUAGUCCCUCCCUCAGGAAAUCAGGCAGAGCUGAGUAACCUAUAGGACCUCGUGGAAAUGAGAGUGUGGCUUCCGAGGCUGAGCAAUAAAAGACACGGGGGCUCCCGCCUGGCCCUCUCUGUUGAGGAGAGUCUCACGCUGGGGAAAGGCGGCUGCCAUGUCAUGAGGACACUCGAUCGACCCUGCGGAGGAGUCCACAUAGUGAGGGACUGAGGCCUCCCGCUAGCUUGUUUUCUUGUCUCCUCAUCCAUAAAACGGGUAUGAUAAUCAUA